AGAGAAGCAAAAUGAGGAAAUGAAAGCAGGAGUCUAGGGACCCAGCCAAGGCCGCUAACAGGCAAGUCCUCUCCAAAGCUGUAUACUCCAUGCCCAGAACACAUUUCCCGUCACCCUCCAGCUCUUGAGAUGCCUGAUUUCCUUCUUGACUUAAUGCCGGUACUGCUUUCUGCAUGAAUCCUUGCCGGGUCCUUCUAGCUGCCAGUGACUCCUCCCUGACGACAAGGACUGAAGCUCUCCUGACAAAAAAGGACUUAAGCUAUGGGGAAAUGGCUUUGACCUUGAGCCUGGCCCUGCAUCAAGACUAGAAAAGAUUGCUUCAUUUCCUGAUGUUGAGAAAUGCCUGCAUCUUUACCAGCUCCUAUUUCACAUCCAAGACAGAGAGAAAAAGUAAUUUGUCCUAUUAAGCUGUUCAGAGGAAGGUGUGCUAAGCCAACUCCUGCCUGAGAAGGAGGGAGAGACCUCCUCCAGGAAGCCUGCUUCACCCUCCUCUGCCUCACUCUAUUACCGCACA